rnacentral:misc_RNA from 1 species
GAUGAAGAACGCAGCGAAAUGCGAUAAGUAAUGUGAAUUGCAGAAUUCAGUGAAUCAUCGAAUCUUUGAACGCACAUUGCGCCCGUCGGCAUUCCGACGGGCACGCCUGUCCGAGCGUCAUUGCAACCGUCAAGCCUCGCUUGGUGUUGGGGGACGUCGCGUCCGCGCGACCCCCCCGGAACCCGUUGGCGGUGGCCCCUCGUCCCGCUCGUCGCGCACGUACGACGGUGCGGGGGGACCGCCCGCCCAUCAUCGGCCAUCGCGCCACGUUGGACCUCGGAUCAGGCGGGGAUACCCGCUGAACUUAAGCAUAUCAAUAAGCGGAGGA